CUGAGUACGGCGGAACACGUGAAAUUCCGUCGGAAUCCGGGAGGACCAUCUCCCAAGGCUAAAUACUCCCUAGUGACCGAUAGUGAACCAGUACCGUGAGGGAAAGGUGAAAAGCACCCCGGAAGGGGAGUGAAACAGUUCCUGAAACCGUGUGCCUACAAGUAGUUAGAGCCCGUUAAUGGGUGAUAGCGUGCCUUUUGUAGAAUGAACCGGCGAGUUACGAUUUGUUGCAAGGUUAAGCGGAAAAAGCGGAGCCGUAGCGAAAGCGAGUCUGAAUAGGGCGCAUAAGUAACAGGUCGUAGACCCGAAACCAGGUGAUCUACCCAUGUCCAGGAUGAAGGUAAGGUAAUACUUACUGGAGGUCCGAACCCACGCACGUUGAAAAGUGCGGGGAUGAGGUGUGGGUAGCGGAGAAAUUCCAAUCGAACUUGGAGAUAGCUGGUUCUCUCCGAAAUAGCUUUAGGGCUAGCCUCGAGGUAAAGAGUCAUGGAGGUAGAGCACUGUUUGGACUAGGGGCCCUUCUCGGGUUACCGAAUUCAGAUAAACUCCGAAUGCCAUGUACUUAUACUCGGGAGUCAGACUGCGAGUGAUAAGAUCCGUAGUCGAAAGGGAAACAGCCCAGACCACCAGUUAAGGUCCCCAAAUAUAUGUUAAGUGGAAAAGGAUGUGGGGUUGCUUAGACAACCAGGAUGUUGGCUUAGAAGCAGCCACCAUUGAAAGAGUGCGUAAUAGCUCACUGGUCGAGUGACCCCGCGCCGAAAAUGUACCGGGGCUAAACAUAUUACCGAAACUGUGGAUGAACCUCUUUAGAGGUUCGUGGUAGGAGAGCGUUCUAAGGGCGGUGAAGUCAGACCGGAAGGACUGGUGGAGCGCUUAGAAGUGAGAAUGCCGGUAUGAGUAGCGAAAGAAGGGUGAGAAUCCCUUCCACCGAAUAUCUAAGGUUUCCUGAGGAAGGCUCGUCCGCUCAGGGUUAGUCGGGACCUAAGCCGAGGCCGAUAGGCGUAGGCGAUGGACAACAGGUAGAGAUUCCUGUACCAGUGCUAAUUGUUUAACCGAUGGGGUGACACAGAAGGAUAGGGAAUCGCAC
rnacentral:rRNA from 1 species